UACGAAGGGUGCUAGCGUUGUUCGGAAUUACUGGGCGUAAAACGUGCGUAGACGGUUACGUAAGUCGGGUGUGAAAGCCCCGGGCUCAACCUGGGAAUUGCAUUCGAGACUGCAUAGCUAGGGUGCGGAAGAGGGAAGCGGAAUUUCCGGUGUAGCGGUGAAAUGCGUAGAUAUCGGAAGGAACACCAGUGGCGAAAGCGGCUUCCUGGUCCAGCACCGACGUUCAGGCACGAAAGCGUGGGGAGCAAACAGG
rnacentral:rRNA from 1 species